AAGCAAAACAGUUCUUGGAAGAUGUCCGUGAUUCAUUUCCUCAGGUUUUGAGUGUUUUGAAAACAAGACAAGUAACAUAUUAUGUGCUGAAUCAUCUAAAUGGAUAUAUCAAGAACCUCGAGAAGGUUGGGCUGUUAGAGGGAAAAGAAGUUUCUCAUCUUCAUGAUGUUGUUCAGUCUGACUUGAAGAAGCUCCUGAGAAAUCCUCCUUUACUAAAACUUCCAAAUAUAGAAGGUUUUCUCGCCAGCAAUCCGUUAUUGAAAGAUCGCUCAAUCUUCAGGAGUUUGGCCACGGGCGAGACACAUUCAUGAAUAAGACUUUGUAGGUUUUCUUGUCAGAAGCAAAUCAAGGAGUAGACUCAGGUUUCAGGAAGAGUCAGGAACUCGUUAAUGUUCUUUCUUCGCACCCACCUGGAUAGUACCAGGACCCGUGUGCCCCGGCCCUUGGUCAGAUACCCGAAUUACUCUUCUUUUUGUAUUACCAAAUGCGUCCUGCUUUUUUGUUCACAAAUCCACACUCUUUGGUUGAAGUUCACAAUCCAUAUACGCUGGCAUAAAAGUUUAAUUAUAACGCAUAUAUUUAAAUAUUAACGCUUAUAAAAAAGCACAAAGUA